rnacentral:rRNA from 1 species
AUCGAACGCUGGCGGCAUGCCUAACACAUGCAAGUCGAGCGUUCGUCGGACGGGUGAGUAAUGUCUGGGAACCUGCCUCAUGUCGGGGGAUAACUACUGUAAACGGUAGCUAAUACUGCAUACCACCAGAUUUGCCCAGAGGGGAUUAGCUAGUAGGUGGGGUAAUGGCUCACAUAGCCGACGAUCCCUAGCGGGCCUGAGAGGCUGACCGGCCACACUGGGACUGAGACACGGUCCAGACUCCUACGGGAGGCAGCAGUGGGGAAUCUUCGGCAAUGGGCGAAAGCCUGAAGCAGCCAUGCCGCGUGUGUGAAGAAGGUCUUCGGGUUGUAAAACACUGUCAGCAGAGAGGCGUUAUCUGAAGAGAAAGCACCGGCUAACUACGUGCCAGCAGCCGCGGUAAUAC